CUGUUACAUUAUUAUGAUAAUGGCAUAUAACCCUAUGAAGUGGGUGAAGAAUCUUGUAAUUGACUUUUAAAAAUGACCAUGGUAUUUUGGGUGGCUUCAGCCUUUUCCUGUGCUGUUUAGUAGAGUGCACUGUCCACCACUGGAGGAAGAAAUGGCCCUCUUAGUAUAUCUUGAUUUUAGCCAAAGCAGCCUAGUAUUUUGUUUUGGUUUUAUUUUACAGCUUGACAUAACUUCUAAUAUUUCUGUUAAUUAUGAAUGCUUUCAAAAGUUAUAUAAACCAUGUUUUUAUGAUAUAUAAACUAAUUAUUUAAAAUUUAUUACCACACCUCUAUUGUGGGAGGCCAUAACAGGUUGGUGAUAUAAUCAACAUGUUAAAUUCAGAUUUCAUGAACAAGGGGAGAGAUCCUAGUUCUCUUCUCUAGACUCAGCUUUGCCUCUAUGACAGUCACAACCUCGCAUCUUUCAUCAGAAUGCAGUCGUGUCUAAGAGUGGGUAUUUUGUGAUAAUGUUUACUAUAGAUCAUUUGUUAAUUUUGAUGCCUUCAUUUUAGCUAAUUUCAGAAUUUUUAUUAGGUAAUGUCUAGGUCCUGUUCUUUGAGUAUCUUAGAGUGUGUUGAAAGGAUCCGCUGAGCAUUUACAAACAUGGUUUGUAGCUCUAACCCUGAAGUUACUUGGGGACUUUGCUUUGAUUGCCAAGGGAGCUUCUGGUUUCUGAUGCAAUACUAACCAAUAUUGCAUCAUAGUAAUGAAUUAAAGCAUGUAUAUCUGUAGAGCAAGAGAAUUGCUAAUUAUAGUCUGUGUCCAAGUGUUCUUUUCAUAUUUAAAAGCAACCAUUUUUAAUAUUUAAUCACCUAUCAUUAACUUUAUUGAUAAUUGUGUAUGUAUGUAGUCAUGGGGAAUGUUCAGAAAAUAAAAGAAUAUUCUCAAAUGGAAACUGGAGAUAAGCACUGUUAAAAGUUACUGUAACAAACUCCUCUAUAGAAUAAACUUCUUAGACUCUUUGGGAAGCUUCAUGGUAGUGGUCCCAAUGGUCAAGCCUUAUUGCAGGAGAAAAAACCUGAAGUCUGUACAGAUGCCUCAUUAAUGAUAAUGUGUGGUAAGAAGAGAGACGUGAAGAAAUAGGGAGUACCACUAUUACAUUUUAUUAUUGUUUAUCACUACCAAAUGUUAAAUGUAUCUUGUCUGGUCAAUCAUCCUUGUAAAUAAGUUCUCAAUAGGAAAAAAGAGUAAAGCACAGCUUUGCAUUAAUAAACAUAUGCACAGAGGUG
rnacentral:lncRNA from 1 species